rnacentral:rRNA from 1 species
GAUGAACGCUAGCGGCAGGCUUAAUACAUGCAAGUCGAGGGGCAGCAUGAGUGUAGCAAUACAUUUGCUGGCGACCGGAAAACGGGAGAGGUACACGUACACAACCUUCCUAUAAGUGGGGCAUAGCCCAGAGACAUUUGGGUUAAUACCCCGUAACAUACUGAUGUGCCCUCACAUUAUUAUUAAUGCUACGGCGCUCAUUGAUGGGUGUGCGGCUGAUUAGCUAGUUGGCGGGGUAACGCCCCACCAAGUCUACGAGCAGUAGCUGAUGUGAGAGCAUGAUCGGCCACACGGGAACUGAGCCACGGGCCCGACUCCUACGGGAGGCAGAAGUAAGGAAUAUUGGUCAAUGGACGCAAGUCUGAACCAGCCAUGCCGCGUGAAGGAUUAAGGUCCUCUGGAUUGUAAACUUCUUUUAUCUGGGACGAAAAAAGGCGAUUCUUCGUCACUUGACGGUACCAGAUGAAUAAGCACCGGCUAACUCCGUGCCAGCAGCCGCCGUAAAAC